UGUUGAAAAUUUUCAUCCAUUCGUACGAUUAAAAAUUGAAGGGCUAAUGGAAUAACCAAGCAGUAGCACAUGGCAUGCCAUGUGUACCUUAUGUUGAUGUGCAAGACCAAUUUUUAACCGUAGAAAUGAGUGAAAUUUUUAACA
rfam:Gossypium raimondii Chr11_contig_7, whole genome shotgun sequence.